CGGACGGGUGAGUAACGCGUGGGUAACCUGCCUUAUACAGGGGGAUAACAGUCAGAAACGGCUGCUAAUACCGCAUAAGCGCACAGCUUCGCAUGGAGCAGUGUGAAAAACUCCGGUGGUGUGAGAUGGACCCGCGUCUGAUUAGCUAGUUGGUAAGGUAACGGCUUACCAAGGCGACGAUCAGUAGCCGACCUGAGAGGGUGACCGGCCACAUUGGGACUGAGACACGGCCCAAACUCCUACGGGAGGCAGCAUG
rnacentral:rRNA from 1 species